GAAUAUUUUGCAGUAGGGGCGCAAGCCUGAUCCAGCAAUGCCGCGUGUGUGAAGAAGGCCUUCGGGUUGUAAAGCUCUUUUGUCCGGAAAGAAAACGUCCUGGUUAAUACCCGGGGCGUAUGACGGUACCGGAAGAAUAAGCACCGGCUAACUACGUGCCAGCAGCCGCGGUAAUACGUAGGGUGCAAGCGUUAAUCGGAAUUAUUGGGCGUAAAGCGUGCGCAGGCGGUUCGCUAAGACAGAUGUGAAAUCCCCGGGCUUAACCUGGGAACUGCAUUUGUGACUGGUGGGCUAGAGUAUGGCAGAGGGGGGUAGAAUUCCACGUGUAGCAGUGAAAUGCGUAGAGAUGUGGAGGAAUACCGAUGGCGAAGGCAGCCCCCUGGGCCAAUACUGACGCUGAUGCACGAAAGCGUGGGGGAGCAAACAGGAUUAGAUACCCUGGUAGUCCACGCCCUAAACGAUGUCAACUAGUUGUCGGGUCUUCAUUGACUUGGUAACGUAGCUAACGCGUGAAGUUGACCGCCUGGGGAGUACGGUCGCAAGAUUAAAACUCUUAUGA
rnacentral:rRNA from 1 species